GGAGUCUGGUCCGUGUCUCAGUACCAGUGUGGGGGACCUUCCUCUCAGAACCCCGACUGAUCGAUGGCUCGGUGGGCCGUUACCCCGCCGACUGCCUAAUCAGACGCAUCCCCAUCCCUUAGCGAUGAAUCUUUGCUUCACGUUAGAUGCCCGCUGUGAAGAACAUAGGGUAUUAAUCCGACUUUCGCCGGGCUAUGCCCUACUAAGGGGAAGGUUGGAUACGCGUUACUCACCCGUGCGCCGGUCGCCAUCUAUCAAAGCAAGCUUCGAUAAUGAUGCCCCUCGACUUGCAUGUGUUAAGCCUGUAGCUAGCGUUCAUC
rnacentral:rRNA from 1 species